AAAAGAUAUGGGCGGGAUUGGGGAAAAUACUUUUCCCACCGGUUCCUAAUAAACCGGUGCGAAAUCAUAUUUUCCCCACCGGUUCAAACCGGUUUGAAAUUUAAAAAAAAAAACGGGCUGCGUGUUCUUCCUUUCUUUCUUCUUCUUUCUUUCUUUCCCCCUACUUUUCCAUCUCCUGUUUUCCUCUCAUUUUUGCCUUCUCUUCAACCGUCUCGAAUUUCCCCUCCAUUGAAGCAACACCUCCUUCUCUCUUCAUUGAAGCAGCACCUCCUUCUCUCUCCAUUGAAGUGAUUUACAAGCUCUCUCACUCUAUUGAAGCAGCACCUCAAUCUCUCUCCAUAUCUCUGGCCUCCAUGAUUGCGAAUGAACUCGUUGUGCUCUAUAUUCUCCAUUGAAGCCAAUUCUGAGCUUUCUCACCUCCAUUGAAGCAGAUUCGAGGGUUUGUCAUUGAAGCGCGCACGGCUCUACCUCCACCACAAUGGCCUCCUUAUCACGGCGGCAGGGCCUUAUUUUUCUAGGGUUUAUCGUCAAUUCCCCCCUUUUUCUUUGAUCUUUUUUGUUUGAUAUUUUUUUAUUAUUGAAGAUUUCUUGUGUACUGUGUGUGUUAGUGUGUGAUUGCUGUUUGUUUUUGUUUCUUUGAGAUGUACUGGUACAACUGUUAGUGUGUGAUGAAACUUAUAAUAAAUUUUUUUUACUGCUCUUUCACAGCUAGCUGCUAUUCUGCCAUUGGCAAUUGUACAUACCCUAGGUAACCUCUUCACCAACAUGAGUUUUGAGUUUUUUGAAAGAAUUACAUUGCGAUGAGGGUUCAAUGGUUGGGUAUACGAUUGAGGUUUGAUUUAUUGUUGGAAUUUUUAUGUCUUGCCUUGCUUGUUUGUUGUUAAAUUAUUAGUGAUCAAAUAGGUUGUUGUUAUUUGCUUAAAGGCAUGCUUAUUGUUGGAGAUUUCUAUUUGUUUGGUGAUGUGGCUGCUUCUUGACAGUUGAAUUAUUGGUGAUAAGUUGUUGUAAUACUCUUAAAGGCCUUCUGAUGUGCUACUCUGUCAUAUUUGUCACAUUUUAUGCAGUUGCUUUUUCUGGAUAUUAUGUCUUCGGUAAAAAAUCUACUUCUAACAUACUUAAGAGCUUCCUUCCUGUUAGUGGACCAUCUUUGGCUCUAGAUUGGGUUUUUGCACUCGCAGUCAUCUUCAUUCUUCUCCAGCUUUUCGCCAUUGGCUUGACAGUACAUUAAAGCUAAUUGCUGGAUGAGCUGAAGGAUACUCUGGACAUGUUGAUGGGAAACAUAGGGAAGCAAGGAUGAACCAUCCUAAAGGUGCUGUUGUCAAUGACAGGGGAAACAUAUAUGUUGCUGAUACUGAAUAUGACUAUUAGAGAAACUUUUGCCUAUGCUGCCAGAUUGCAGGGUGUCGGAUAUUGUUAUGAAAUGUUGGCUGAGGUAAAUAGGAGGGAAAAGGAGGCUGCUUCUACUUAAGGGUUUGAAGAAGGUUGUUGCAGUUACAGAGGAUAAAGGAACUGCUGGAGCUCUUCGUGCCAUUUCACGUUACUUGACUGCCAGCGACAUUUUGGCAUUGAGCAUAGUUUCAGCAAUGUGUUGUUGUUGCAGCAAUGUGUAUCCUCGUGGUUCGGGCUAUAAUUGUUCAAAUCGCUUUGUAUUUGUGUGUGACCUUGUAUUUUAGUUUUUUUGGACGAAAAUUGUAAUAUUACGGCUUUUUUUAAUGAAAAUAUGUAACUUUAUAUAUA